GAUGAACGCUGGCGGUAUGCUUAACACAUGCAAGUCGAACGGAGCUUUUCGGAGCUUAGUGGCGGACGGGUGAGUAACGCGUGAGAAUCUGCCUUUUGGACCGGGACAACUGCGGGAAACGGCAGCUAAGACCGGAUGUGCCUUCGGGUGAAAUAUUCAUAGCCAAAAGAGGAGCUCGCGACCGAUUAGCUAGUUGGUGGGGUAAGAGCCUACCAAGGCUGCGAUCGGUAGCCGGUUUGAGAGGACGACCGGCCACACUGGGACUGAGACACGGCCCAGACUCCUACGGGAGGCAGCAGUGGGGAAUUUCCCGCAAUGGGCGAAAGCCUGACGGAGCAAUACCGCGUGAGGGAGGAAGGCUCUUGGGUCGUAAACCUCUUUUCUCAGGGAAGAAGCAAUGACGGUACCUGAGGAAUCAGCAUCGGCUAACUCCGUGCCAGCAGCCGCCGUAAAAC
rnacentral:rRNA from 1 species